CAUCAGAAUGAAUAAAAACGAAUUUAUUGUGAGGGGCAAGGAUCUCAGAUUGAGGUGGGAAGAGACCCAGGCAGACGCAGACCACAUCUGAAGGCGCAGAGUAUGCCAGGGAAAAGCUGCAGUCCUUACAUCAGCCGGGUCUGCCCACGGCCAAGAACAGCGGGAAAGAAGACAGGCAGGCAAGGAGAAAAGAAGAACGAAUGCUGUGGGCAAAGAACAAAGUAAGCGGGGAGAAUUUUGAUUAAGCAAGAAAAGGAAACUUUGCAACAGAAUUAAGGAAAAAGAGAGAAAUGAAGAGAGAAAGGGGAUGAAAAAAGGCAAGGAGGAGACAAGAAACGUUCACAAGACAAUAGUAAACCAAUAAAUAAAAUUGUUAAGAACAGCGAGUGGGGUGGAGGAGGGAGAAAUUAUAUUCAGUAUCUAAAGAAACAACAGCAGCCGUUCCCGAGAGGGACCGACCCCAUCCCCCCCCCCCCCCCCGCGAGCGCCGCACCCCGCGCGGGGACCGGGCCCCGGAUUCCGGCGUCUGCGCGGGGAUCGUAGCUACGGCCCCCGAGUUGAGCCACGCGUGAUCCCGGAAGGGUCUGCCAGGAGUUUUUAUGAGACCUAGGGGGACGAGUGCUGGAAAUUUGAUGGGUUGGGGCGCAGGUCGAGAAGUGGUGAAGACAGUGCUCUUCCCCGGAACCUCAGCGUGCGGAGGCCUGGGAAUCCAGUCGCUCCCAGACGAGCUCUUCCCGGAUGCAUAAGCAUCAUAAAACACUUUGCACAAGCCUCCUUUCGCUGGGACCAUCCACGAAGUGUCGGGAACACCAGGCAUCCCUCUGCAUCCUUGCUGUCCAUCUGUGUCUCUCCGUGCCCAGGGCAGCAGCUUAAGGUAACGUUCCCUCUCUCCCACGUUGGUCCCCAACCACUCAGGUGACCGCUUCCCAUGGGGUGAACUGGACACGUUUCUAACCUCCCUGCACUCAGUUUACCCUUUUGUAAAAGCGGAUGAUAAUAUCCCCCUCAUCAUGACUGUAAAGCAGUGGGCACCCAGCAAUGCCACCAUCCUCACAGGCCACGACACAGAGUUUGUUUAGGGACCAGAUGGCCAGAUAAGCUGCCCCUUCUGACACGAAGCAAAUUCUUAGGUGAGGAAGCUCCUCUUAUCUGGGGAACUCUCCCAGGCCCAUAAGCCCUCCUUCCUAAUCACAACGUUGGCUAUUAUUGUCUCCUGUUAGACAUCAAGUUCCUUUAAAAGGUAGCACAUUGGGCCUUAGCAGUAGGGCUGCCAGAUAAAAUACAAGAUGCCCAACGAAAUUUCAAUUUCAGAUAAACAACAAGUAAUAAAUUAGCUUACGUAUGUUUCAAACAUUGCACAGGACAUACUAUACUUAAAAUUAUUCAUCAUUUGUCUCAAAUACAAAUUCAACUGUGGAGUUUGUAUUUUAUGUGCGAAAUCUGGCAACUCUACUUACCAACCAUUUACACCUCAGGUAAGUACGCCCAUUGGAUCCAUUUCAGAGAGGGAGUUUAGAUAGAAAGAGAAUAAAUAUGAAGUUCAUGGAACUACCUCUUGGGUGGUAACAAGUACGGUGGCCCUGGUGGGUCAUUUGGUAUGGAUUGGCUUACCAGCUGAGUUUUAUCUGUCAUGAAACAGCUUAAAAAAAAAAUAAGGAAGCCUAGUUUCCACUGACCCUGUGGCUUCUAUAUGAAACAUGCAUGUAAGGCUUCUGUGCUGGACCCCUUCCUCAAGAUUUUUGGCAAAGAGGACCAAAAAGUAGCUUCUGUGGAUAUUACUUAUUUAGUAUUAAUGUGGCAAAGCUAGGUCUCAGCUAGACAUUUCAAGUAAACAGGAUCACGCCACAUACAGUUGUUUGAAACCAGAGAUUUCCUGUGACCCUCAGAGCUUUAACGAGAACCAGAGAAGUGAUUCUUUAUAGAAACCCGUUAAUUUUCCCUCCUCCCCCGUUUAACCCCAAAUACAACAAAUCCCAGAACGUCUGCAGACAGUGGCUUGUUUGAUAGAUGAAGCCAGGAGGCCAUCCCCCGAUGCAGUUGUGCUGAUGACUGGAGGCUGAGGCGGGUGCCAGUCCAUAUACAAUAAUUUCAAGAAGCUACAAACACAACUAAUGAAGAAAAACAUUAACCCCCAGCACACGAUGUCUUUCGGUAAAGUCUCUUGGAGGGCUUUGCAAAUCUCUUCUGACCUCAGCAGCUUAAAAGAGUUCCCAGGCAGAUAUGGAAUCACGGUGGCUCCUUCAUAUUUCUCCUGGAGCAAUCUACUGUCUCCAGACCCUGAACAUUUGCUCGUGCUUUGCGGAGCAGACUUUGGCGGAAUUCCCUAUUGGAGGGACAACGAUUGUUGUGAGAUGACCAUAA
rnacentral:lncRNA from 10 species